rnacentral:tRNA from 1 species
GCACUCUUAGCUCAGUUGGUAGAGCAACUGACUCUUAAUCAGUGGGUCCAGGG